GUGCUCGCUUCAGCAACACAUGUACUAAAAUCGAAACGAUACAGAGAUUAGCAUGGCCCCUGCACAAGGAUGACACGCCAAUUCGUGAAGUGUUCCAUGUUAAA